GUCCACGCCGUAAACGAUGGGCACUAGGUGUUCGGGGUAUUGACCCCCUGAGUGCCGCAGCUAACGCAUUAAGUGCCCCGCCUGGGGGACUACGGCCGCAAGGCUAAAAACUCAAAGGAAUUGACGGGGGCCCGCACAAGCGGUGGAGCAUGUGGUUCAAUUCGACGCAACGCGAAGAACCUUACCUGGGCUAGACAACGUCGGACCGCCCUAGAAAUAGGGUCUUCCCGCAAGGGACCGGCGGUUCAGGUGCUGCAUGGCUGUCGU
rnacentral:rRNA from 1 species